AACGAACGCUGGCGGCAUGCCUAACACAUGCAAGUCGAACGAUGCUUUCGGGCAUAGUGGCGCACGGGUGCGUAACGCGUGGGAAUCUGCCCUUGGGUUCGGAAUAACAGUUGGAAACGACUGCUAAUACCGGAUGAGGACGAAAGUCCAAAGAUUUAUCGCCUGAGGAUGAGCCCGCGUAAGAUUAGGUAGUUGGUGGGGUAAAGGCCUACCAAGCCGACGAUCUUUAGCUGGUCUGAGAGGAUGAUCAGCCACACUGGGACGGGGACACGGCCCAGACUCCUACGGGAGGCAGCAGGGGGGAAUAAUUGACAAGGGGCGAAAGCCUUAUCCAGCAAUGCCGCGGGGAUGAUGAAAGCCUUUGGGUUGUAAAGCUCUUUUACCCGGGAUGAUAAUGACAGUACCGGGAGGAUAAGCCCCGGCUAACUCCGUGCCAGCCGCCGCAGUAA
rnacentral:rRNA from 1 species